AUGGUAGUACCCAAGUCUAUGGGGGGCAUGGGCUUCCGUGACAUGAGAGCGUUCAACCAGGCCUUGCUUGCUAAGCAGGCUUGGCAAUUAUUGGAUUGCCCAGAUAGCCUGUGUGCGAGACUACUUAAAGCCAAAUAUUAUCCCCAUGGUAAUCUGUUGGAUACAGUGUUCCCGACCAGCUCGUCCGCAGUAUGGAAGGGGAUUGUACAUGGUCUUGAAUUGGUGAAGAAAGGCAUUAUUUGGCGUGUGGGAGACGAGACACUGAUUAGAACAUGGAGAGAUGCUUGGAUCCCGAGGGGUCAUAAUCUUCGGCCAAUAACUCCUAAACGUAACUGCAGACUUAAUUGGGUGGCGGAUUUCUUAACUGAACAAGGUGCUUGGAAUGAGCAAAGGCUGCGAGAACAUUUUUGGGACAUGGACGUACGGGUGAUUCUUAAGAUCCGUACCUCACCGAGGAAUGGCCAAGACUUCUUAGCCUGGUUCCCGGAAAGGAGCGGACAAUUUUCUGUGAGGAGUGCAUACAGGCUAGCUACUUUGAGCAUCGCCCCGGGUAUGGCACCCGCAACCAGCAACAACCCUUCCGGGGAGCGGCCGGUUUGGCAGUGCAUAUGGGCAGCCAAGGUAUUGAUACGUCUCCAAUGUAUCUAUAAUUUUUUAUUGUUUCAUGCUAUUAUAUUAUCUGUUUUGGAUGUUUAA
rnacentral:rRNA from 1 species